GACGAACGCUGGCGGCGUGCUUAACACAUGCAAGUCGAGCGGUAAGGCCCUUUCGGGGGUACACGAGCGGCGAACGGGUGAGUAACACGUGGGUGACCUGCCCUCAGCUCUGGGAUAAGCCUGGGAAACCGGGUCUAAUACCGGAUAUGACUCCAUGACGCAUGUUGUGGGGUGGAAAGCCUUGUGCGGCUGAGGAUGGGCCCGCGGCCUAUCAGCUUGUUGGUGGGGUGAUGGCCUACCAAGGCGACGACGGGUAGCCGGCCUGAGAGGGCGACCGGCCACACUGGGACUGAGACACGGCCCAGACUCUUACGGGAGGCAGCAGUGGGGAAUCUUGCGCAAUGGGCGAAAGCCUGACGCAGCGACGCCGCGUGAGGGAUGACGGCCU
rnacentral:rRNA from 1 species